GACAGAGGGUGCAAACGUUGUUCGGAAUUACUGGGCGUAAAGCGCGUGUAGGCGGCUUUGCAAGUCGGAUGUGAAAGCCCUCGGCUUAACUGAGGAAGUGCACCCGAAACUGAGUAGCUGGAGUACGAAAGAGGGUCGCGGAAUUCCCGGUGUAGAGGUGAAAUUCGUAGAUAUCGAGAGGAACACCGGUGGCGAAGGCGGCCAACUGGACGAAUACUGACGCUGAGACUCGAAAGCGUGGGGAGCAAACAGG
rnacentral:rRNA from 1 species